rnacentral:rRNA from 1 species
UGGGGGAUAUUGCACAAUGGGCGAAAGCCUGAUGCAGCGACGCCGCGUGGGGGAUGAAGGCCUUCGGGUUGUAAACUUCUUUUGCUCUGAACAAGGCAUGCUAAUGGGUGUGUUGAGUGUCGGGGUUGAUUAGCGCCGGCUAACUACGUGCCAGCAGCCGCGGUAAUACGUAGGGCGCGAGCGUUGUCCGGAAUUAUUGGGCGUAAAGGGCUUGUAGGUGGCUGGUUGCGUCUGUCGUGAAAGCUCAUGGCUUAACUGUGGGUUUGCGGUGGGUACGGGCUGGCUUGAGUGCAGUAGGGGAGGCUGGAAUUCCUGGUGUAGCGGUGGAAUGCGCAGAUAUCAGGAGGAAUACCGGUGGCGAAGGCGGGUCUCUGGGCUGUUACUGACACUGAGGAGCGAAAGCAUGGGGAGCGAACAGG